rnacentral:rRNA from 1 species
AAUCUUCCGCAAUGGACGAAAGUCUGACGGAGCAACGCCGCGUGAGCGAAGAAGGCCUUCGGGUCGUAAAGCUCUUUUGUUAGGGAAGAACAAGUACGCGAGUAACGGCUCGUACCUUGACGGUACCUAACCAGAAAGCCACCGCUCACUACGUCCCAGCAGCCGCGGUAACACGUAGGUGGCAAGCGUUGCCCGGAAUUAUUGGGCGUAACGCGCGCGCAGGCGGUCCCUUAAGUCUGAUGUGAAAGCCCACGGCUCAACCGUGGAGGGUCAUUGGAAACUGGGGGACUUGAGUGCAGAAGAGGAGAGUGGAAUUCCACGUGUAGCGGUGAAAUGCGUAGAGAUGUGGAGGAACACCAGUGGCGAAGGCGACUCUCUGGUCUGUAACUGACGCUGAGGCGCGAAAGCGUGGGGAGCAAACAGG